GCUCAGAAUGAACGUUGGCGGCGUGGAUUAGGCAUGCAAGUCGCGCGAGAAAUUUCCUUCGGGAGAUGGACAGCGGCGGAAGGGAGAGGAAUAAGUAGAAAUCUGCCCUCGGGACGGGGAUAGCGGCGGGAAACUGCCGGUAAUACCCGAUAACAUCUUAGGAUCAAAUGGUGUGAUUCCGCCUGAGGAUGAGUCUACUUCCUAUUAGCUAGUUGGCGGGGUAAUGGCCCACCAAGGCAACGAUGGGGUANCGGGUGUGAGAGCACGAUCCGCCUCACUGGGACUGAGACACUGCCCAGACACCUACGGGUGGCUGCAGUCGAGAAUCUUCGGCAAUGGGGGAAACCCUGACCGAGCGACGCCGCGUGCGGGAUGAAGGCCCUCGGGGUUGUAAACCGCUGUCGUAAGGGAACAAAUCCAUAGGGGUACUCCUCUAUGGUUGAGUGAUCUUAGGAGGAAGGACGGGCUAAGUUCGUG
rnacentral:rRNA from 1 species